UACGUAGGGUGCGAGCGUUAAUCGGAAUUACUGGGCGUAAAGCGUGCGCAGGCGGUUCGCUAAGACCGAUGUGAAAUCCCCGGGCUAACCUGGGAACUGCAUUGGUGACUGGCGGCUAGAGUAUGGCAGAGGGGGUAGGAAUUCCACGUGUAGCAGUGAAAUGCGUAGAGAUCAUGAGGAAGACCAGUGGCGAAGGCGGGUCUCUGGACAGUUCCUGACACUAAGGCACGAAAGCGUGGGGAGCAAACGGG
rnacentral:rRNA from 1 species